AUGCAAGACCAAGUUGUGAACUAUGAAAUAAGCAAGUUCCAAAGCAGAGAGGGUUCCUCUGCAAAGAAGCUUGCUAGGACUUGCCAAAACUUUGACUACAAUCCUGUGGCUUGGUGGAGAAUGUAUGGAGGUGAGACACCAGGGUUGAAGGACAUGGCUAUGAAGAUCCUUUCUUUGACCUCAAGUUCUUCCGGUUGUGAGAGAAAUUGGAGUUGUUUUGAGUCGAUACAUACCAAGAGGAGAAAUAGACUUACAACAGAUCGCCUCAAUCAGCUUGUGUACAUCCAGUUCAACUCAAGGCUGUUAUCCAAGAAAAGAAAGAUCAAGUAGAGGAAGAACAUCGAUGUUCUCCUCACUACUGAUGCAUCUGAAGCACAAGGCUUCUUGUUUGAGGGAGGAGAUGAUCAUGCUUUCAUGGUGUUUCCAGAUGGAGAUGAGGGAGCAGAUGGCAUACCUUGGAGUGUGGUUGGAGAUGCUAUGGGAACCAGUGAACAACUUGAGCUUCGUCGAAGUGCAAGGGUUAGAGAUCUCCAUGAUGAAGAGUUUGAUUCAGACGAAGAAGAAGUAGAGGAGACAGAUUCAUAG
rnacentral:rRNA from 1 species